rnacentral:rRNA from 1 species
ACUGGGUCUAAUACCGAAUAUGACUACGCACUUCCUGGUGUGUGGUGGAAAGCUUUUGCGGUGUGGGAUGGGCCCGCGGCCUAUCAGCUUGUUGGUGGGGUAAUGGCCUACCAAGGCGACGACGGGUAGCCGGCCUGAGAGGGUGACCGGCCACACUGGGACUGAGAUACGGCCCAGACUCCUACGGGAGGCAGCAGUGGGGAAUAUUGCACAAUGGGCGCAAGCCUGAUGCAGCGACGCCGCGUGAGGGAUGACGGCCUUCGGGUUGUAAACCUCUUUCAGCACAGACGAAGCGCAAGUGACGGUAUGUGCAGAAGAAGGACCGGCCAACUACGUGCCAGCAGCCGCGGUAAUACGUAGGGUCCGAGCGUUGUCCGGAAUUACUGGGCGUAAAGAGCUCGUAGGUGGUUUGUCGCGUUGUUCGUGAAAACUCACAGCUUAACUGUGGGCGUGCGGGCGAUACGGGCAGACUUGAGUACUGCAGGGGAGACUGGAAUUCCUGGUGUAGCGGUGGAAUGCGCAGAUAUCAGGAGGAACACCGGUGGCGAAGGCGGGUCUCUGGGCAGUAACUGACGCUGAGGAGCGAAAGCGUGGGGAGCGAACAGGAUUAGAUACCCUGGUAGUCCACGCCGUAAACGGUGGGUACUAGGUGUGGGUUUCCUUCCUUGGGAUCCGUGCCGUAGCUAACGCAUUAAGUACCCCGCCUGGGGAGUACGGCCGCAAGGCUAAAACUCAAAGAAAUUGACGGGGGCCCGCACAAGCGGCGGAGCAUGUGGAUUAAUUCGAUGCAACGCGAAGAACCUUACCUGGGUUUGACAUGCACAGGACGCUGGUAGAGAUAUCAGUUCCCUUGUGGCCUGUGUGCAGGUGGUGCAUGGCUGUCGUCAGCUCGUGUCGUGAGAUGUUGGGUUAAGUCCCGCAACGAGCGCAACCCCUAUCUUAUGUUGCCAGCGCGUUAUGGCGGGGACUCGUAAGAGACUGCCGGGGUCAACUCGGAGGAAGGUGGGGAUGACGUCAAGUCAUCAUGCCCCUUAUGUCCAGGGCUUCACACAUGCUACAAUGGCCGGUACAGAGGGCUGCGAAUCCGUAAGGUGGAGCGAAUCCCUUCAAAGCCGGUCUCAGUUCGG